CCCGACUGCUAUCGGAUUGAGAUUUAGCCAUGCGAGUCGAACGUCCCCCUGUUGCGGGGGGCGUGGCGUACGGCUCAGUAACACGUAGUCAACCUGCCCUGGAGACAAGGACAACCCCGGGAAACUGGGAUUAAUCCUUGAUAGGUCAUCUCAUCUGGAAGGAGAGAUGGCUUAAAGGGGUACGCGGGCUUCUUCCGCGAAUUCGCUCCAGGAUGGGACUGCGUCCGAUCAGGCUGUUGGCGGGGUAAUGGCCCACCAAACCUGUAACCGGUACGGGCCUUGAGAGAGGUGGCCCGGAGAUGGACACUGAGAGAAGGGUCCAGGUCCUACGGGGCGCAGCAGGCGCGAAACCUUCGCAAUGCGCGAAAGCGUGACGAGGUUAAUCCGAGUGACUCCCGCUUAGGGGGUCUUUUGUCAGCUGUAAAUAGGCAGGCGAAUAAGGGGAGGGCAAGCCUGGUGUCAGCCGCCGCGGUAAUACCAGCUCCUCGAGUGGUCGGGGCGAUUAUUGGGCCUAAAGCAUCCGUAGCCGGUUCCGUAGGUCCUCUGUUAAAUCCAACCGCUUAACGGUUGACCUGCAGAGGAUACCGCGGGACUAGGAGGCGGGAGAGGCGGACGGUACUCCGCGUGUAGGGGUAAAAUCCUUUGAUCCGCGGAAGACCACCAGUGGCGAAGGCGGUCCGCCAGAACGCGCUCGACGGUGAGGGAUGAAAGCUGGGGGAGCGAACCGGAUUAGAUACCCGGGUAGUCCCAGCCGUAAACGAUGCUAGCUAGAUGAUUCAUUCGCAAGUCGCGAAUGAAGUGUCGCAGGGAAGCCGUUAAGCUAGCCGCCUGGGGAGUACGGUCGCAAGACU
rnacentral:rRNA from 1 species